CCUACGGGAGGCAGCAGUGGGGAAUAUUGGACAAUGGGGGGAACCCUGAUCCAGCCAUGCCGCGUGUGUGAAGAAGGCCCUCGGGUUGUAAAGCACUUUCAGUGAGGAAGAACGCCUGGUGGUUAAUACCCAUCAGGAAAGACAUCACUCACAGAAGAAGCACCGGCUCAACUCCGUGCCAGCAGCCGCGGUAAUACGGAGGGUGCGAGCGUUAAUCGGAAUUACUGGGCGUAAAGCGCGCGUAGGUGGCUUGAUAAGCCGGUUGUGAAAGCCCCGGGCUCAACCUGGGAACGGCAUCCGGAACUGUCAAGCUAGAGUGCAGGAGAGGAAGGUAGAAUUCCCGGUGUAGCGGUGAAAUGCGUAGAGAUCGGGAGGAAUACCAGUGGCGAAGGCGGCCUUCUGGACUGACACUGACACUGAGGUGCGAAAGCGUGGGUAGCAAACAGGAUUAGAUACCCGUGUAGUC
rnacentral:rRNA from 1 species